UUGCUGAAUCUAUUUCUCCAAUCGGAAAUCGACACCCACAGCAAUCUGCUGUGCUUUAAUUAAUGGAUGGGUUGCAUGCAUUUUAUUGUCUAUAAUUUUUUGUGUAAAAACUUUUGUGACUUGUGUUGACACGUCAAUGAAAAGUAUAGCCCAGAAAAGUAUUUUAUGUAGAACAUCUUUAUUGAUAGGCAGCCAUCCAUCAAUGAUCAGAUUUAGAAGGGACAUUCAAUACAGUUGGGCAUAUGAUAUAAUCAAUCGAAUUUCGAAUAUGGCAAUACACUGUGUUACAAGACCGUACUGUUGCCGCGUUCAAAAUAACUGGGACCUCGGAAAAAUACAAAUCAUGACGUCAGUGAUUUUUCAGGUCUGAAAGUCGAAGCUCUAGGGUCCAGAAAGAGGCCUGAGUUCCCGAGUUUGAAUUCGAAGUUGGAUGACCGUUCAAAUAUUUUUUUUUCGCGAGUUCCCAGUUGUUUUGAACAAGGAAAAGGUGCCUAGGAGUCAGAUACCUCCCAACCAGAGGAGCAACCUUGUCUACCGAAAGGGAAGCCUCCACAGAUCAUGAGAAAGACAAAGCCGUCAGUGAGCAGCAGAUUGUAUGCAAUGACAAGGCUUCCAUUCCUACCUGGGGUUGCCUUUACAAUGUCAAGAGCCAACCUGGGUAAAAAGGAUACCUUUUGAUUCUCUCUCUUCAAGGUUGUAUGCUCAUUGAAGGAGUAUAACACAUACAAACAGUACCUGGAUACGGUCAAGACAAACCAUGACAAAACCUACAGCAAGAAGAUGAAGAAACAGAUGCUGAGAAUGGUUCAGUUACAUGAAGAAGGCCAUAUCCCUAAGGAUGUUAUACUGGAAGAUAUGAGAGAGUACUUACUGGAAGAAGGAGCUCGGAACAUGAAGCAUCUGCAGUCAACCAUUGGUUCCAGAUAGGCAAGAAGUGCAUGUAAAUGCACUUUAUACAAAUGGGACACAAAGAUGGCCUGCAAACAGCAUUGUAUGACCCAGAGAGAGAGUUUGAGGAGUAUUGGGUUUCUAAGGAGUGAUUCAGGCUAAAACUCAUUCAAAAUGAUGUAAAGCAUGAUGUGAACAAGGCCAGGCAACUGAAGGAGGCCAAAGAAAAGCGCAACAGAAAGAAAAUGUGCAUCAUGGAACAAAAGCAGGCCAUUCAGAUGAGGAAAAUGGAAGAGGAAUUGAAAAACCUCCAGGAGUUUGAGAGGUUGAGAGAGGCUGCUAUUAAACCAAGUUAUCUAUUGGAAGAAAUAUCUGGAAAACCAGCUCCUGUCCAGCUCACUCGCCUAGCUGCUCACACCAAACUGUGAAGAAAACAGUUUCUCUGUCAGGCAA